UUGUUAUAUUGGAUUGAUUUUUGCAAUGAUGUUUGUAAUUAUGUCUACCCGCUUCUGAAUAUGACUGAAUUCUAAGUGCUUCAGUCAUGUGAACAAUAAUUUUAAAGGAAAGCUACAGUAUAGAAAAUGCUUUAUUUACUUAAUUGGAAGUUGUGCUGAAUUGACAGACAAAUUGCAAUGUAGAGGCUAAUGUAGCACAUACACAUAGUGUGUGUGCAUGUGUGUGU